UACGUAGGGUGCAGGCGUUAAUCGGAAUUACUGGGCGUAAAGCGUGCGCAGGCGGUCUACUAAGACAGGUGUGAAAUCCCCGAGCUCAACUUGGGAAUGGCGCUUGUUACUGGCAAGCUAGAGUGUGUCAGAGGGAGGUAGAAUUCCACGUGUAGCAGUGAAAAUGCGUAGAGAUGUGGAGGAAUACCGAUGGCGAAGGCAGC
rnacentral:rRNA from 1 species